GGCUCCGUGGCGCAACUGAAUAGCGCAUCAGAUUUCGGCUCUGAGGGUUGGGGGUUUGAAUCCCUCCGGGGUCAC
rnacentral:tRNA from 1 species